GGAGGGGUGGCGGAGAGGUUACGCGUCCGCCUGCAGAGCGGAUUCGAGAGAAACUCGUCGCAACCAUGUGGGUUCGAAUCCCACCCCCUCCU
rnacentral:tRNA from 1 species